rnacentral:rRNA from 2 species
AACGUGGCUACAAUGCCACUUGGUGAAUGGUUCGGCUCGAGCGCCGAUGAAUGGACGUGCCAAGCUGCGAUAAGCCCGGGGGAGCCGCAUGGAGGCUAAGAACCCGGGAUCUCCGAAUGAGAAUCUCUACACAAUUGCUUCGCGCAAUAGGGAACGUCGGGAACUGAAACAUCUUAGUACCGACAGGAAAAGAAACCAACAGGGAUGUCGUUAGUAACGGCGAGUGAAAACGACACAGUCUAAACCGAAGCCUUCGGGCAAUGUGGUGUAUGGACUGACAAUCAGCACUAGAACUUCAACGUGAAGUCUCCUGGAACGGAGCGUGAUACAGGGUGAAAGCCCCGUAACUUUGAUUAUUAUAGUGUGUGUCAGAACCUGAAUAGCGGGGGUUGGAAUUCCCUCGUGAAUACGGCAGGCAUCAAUCUGCCAAGACUAAAUACGUCUCGAGACCGAUAGCGAAUAAGUAGCGUGAGCGAAUACUGAAAAGAACCCUCAGAAGGGGGGUGAAAUAGGACCUGAAAUCAAGUGGCGAUAGAGCGGUGGGGCAUAAAAGGCCUUACGACGAACGAAUCAAGGGCGACCUUGUAGUAGGAGUCAUAAGGAGCCGGUGUCCUGUCGUGCGUUUUGAAAAAUGAGCCAGGGAGUGUAUCUAAUCGGCGAGCUUAACCUGAUUAUCGGGGAAGGCAUAGGGAAACCAACAUGUCCGCAGCUUUCGAGCAAGGGACGCCGUCUACAAGGGCGGGGAGUCGAUUGGAUACGACCCGGAACCGGGCGAUCUACGCGUGGGCAAGGUGAAACGUGGCGAAAGCUGCGUGGAGGCCUGUUAGGGGUAUUGCCUUACAAUGCAUUCCCGUGACCCACGUGUAGGGGUGAAAGGCCCAUCGAGCCCGGAGACAGCUGGUUCCGACCGAAACAUGUCGUAGCAUGACCUCCAUUGAGGUAGUUUGUGGGGUAGAGCGACUGAUUGGGAGAAUCGAUAUCGAAAGGUGUCGACCUCCUUGUCAAACUCCGAACCUACAGACGCCGUAGACGUGGGGAGUCCGGUGUACGGGGUAAGCUUGUAUACCGUGAGGGUGAGAACCCAGAGCUGGGUUAAGGUCCCAAAGUGUGGGCUAAGUGCAACUAAAAAGUGGUCUCGGGUCCAAGACAACCGGGAGGUAAGCUUAGAAGCAGCAAUCCUCUAAGAAAAGCGUAACAGCUUACCGGUCGAGAUUCGAGGCGCUGAAAAUGAUCGGGGCUAAAGCCCACCCCCGAGACCCAGCCGCACCUUAACAGGUGAUCGUGUAGGUCGGCGUUCCGUUCGGGUGGAAGCACGGGCGAGAGUUCGUGUGGACCGUUCGGAAAUGAAAAUCCUGGCCGUAGUAGCAGCGUUAGUCGGGUGAGAAUCUUGAUGGCCGAAAGGGUAAGGGUUCCUCAGCAAUGUUUAUCAGCUGAGGGUUAGCCGGUCCUAAGUCUUAUCGUAACUCGAGUAAGACAAAUUGGGAAAUUGGUUAAUAUUCCAAUGCCAUUAUACAUUAAAAGCUGACGCUUCGGGGUAGAGUGAGCCGGGCCUUCGCCCGGUCGAACCGUCGAAAUUCGUGGAAGCCGUAAUGGCACGAAGCGAAUGAAUGUCGGGAUAGGGAAACUCACUUCAACCUGGAGCCCGUGAAAAGGCAAGUAUAAUGACCGUACUCAGAACCGAAACAGGUGCCCAGGCAGAGAAAGCCAAGGCCUGUCGGGAAUAACCGACGUUAGGGAAUUCGGCAAAUUAGUCCCGUACGUUCGCAAUAAGGGAUGCCUGCUCCGGUAAGGAGCAGGUCGCAGUGACUAGGGAGCUCCGACUGUCUAGUAACAACACAGGUGACCGCAAAUCCGAAAGGACUCGUACGGUCACUGAAUCCUGCCCAGUGCAGGUAUCUGAAACUCUGGUUCAACAGAACGAAGGACCUGUCAACGGCGGGGGUAACUAUGACCCUCUUAAGGUAGCGUAGUACCUUGCCGCUUAAUUAGCGGCUUGCAUGAAUGGAUCAACGAGAGCUCCACUGUCCCAACGUUGGGCCCGGUGAACCGUACUUUCCAGUGCGUAGUCUGGAGACCCCCAAGGGGAAGCGAAGACCCUAUAGAGCUUUACUGCAGGCUGCCGCUGGGGCAUGAUCGACGAUGUGUAGAAUAGGUAGGAGUCAUUACACAGGUGCGCGCGCUAGCGCGUCGCCGAGACAACAGUGAAAUACUACCCGUCGUUGAGCGUGUCCCUCACUCUUUUAGAGGACACCGGUAGCUGGGCAGUUUGACUGGGGCGGUACGCGCUCGAAAAGAUAUCGAGCGCGCCCUAAGGUCACCUCAUCCGUGUCAGAAAUGCGGAGAAGAGCGCAAGAGCAAAAGGUGGCCUGACAGUGUUCUCCAUAACAAGGAACGCUGACGCGAAAGCGUGGUCUAGCGAACCUGUGUGCCCGAUUGAUGCGGGCCAUAGAUGACAGAAAAGCUACCUUAGGGAUAACUGAGUCGUCACCGGCAAGAGCACAUAUCGACCCGGUGGCUUGCUACUUCGAUGUCGGUUCCCUCCAACCUGCCCGUGCAGAAGCGGGCAAGGGUGUGGUUGUUCGCCAAUUAAAGGAGGUCGUGAGCUGGGUUUAGACCGUCGUGAGACAGGUCGGCUGCUAUCUAUUGGGGGUGUGAGGUGUCUGACGGGAACGUCCACAUAGUACGAGAGGAACUGUGGAUGGGUGCCACUGGUGUACCGGUUGUUCGAAAGAGCAAGUGCCGGGCAGCUACGCACCAAGGGGUAAGAGCUGAACGCAUCUAAGCUCGAAACUCACCUGGAAAAGAGACACCAUUUGAGUCCACCUGUAAAAGACAGGAUUGAUAGAUUUGGGGUGUACGCACCAAGGCAACGAGGUGUUUAGCCCGCGAAUACUAAUCGGACGAAGCCAUACAUU